GACGAACGCUGGCGGCGUGCUUAAUACAUGCAAGUCGAGCGAGGUCCAUCUGGUGGCAACACCAGUGAAGGCCGAGCGGCGAACGGGUGAGUAACACGUGAGCAACCUGCCCCGAAGUCUGGAAUAACAUCGGGAAACCGGUGCUAAUACCGGAUCGCCCCACCUGACCGCAUGAUCGGGUGAGGAAAGAUUUAUCGCUUCGGGAGGGGCUCGCGGCCUAUCAGCUAGUUGGUGGGGUAACGGCCUACCAAGGCAUCGACGGGUAGCUGGUCUGAGAGGACGACCAGCCACACUGGGACUGAGACACGGCCCAGACUCCUACGGGAGGCAGCAGUAGGGAAUCUUGCGCAAUGGGCGAAAGCCUGACGCAGCAACGCCG
rnacentral:rRNA from 1 species